AUUGAACGCUGGCGGCAGGCCUAACACAUGCAAGUCGAGCGAGAGGCGGACGGGUGAGUAAUGUCUGGGAAACUGCCUGAUGGAGGGGGAUAACUACUGGAAACGGUAGCUAAUACCGCAUACCCUCAGAUGUGCCCAGAUGGGAUUAGCUAGUAGGUGGGGUACCGGCUCACCUAGGCGACGAUCCCUAGCUGGUAUGAGAGGAUGACCAGCCACACUGGAACGGAGCCACGGCCCAGACUCCUCCGGGAGGCAGAAGUGGGGAAGAUUGCACAAUGGGCGAAAGCCUGAUGCAGCCAUGCCGCGGGUGUUAAUAAGGUCUUCGGUUUUUAAAGCACUUUAAGCGGGGAGUCGUUACCCGCAGAAGAAGCACCGGCUAACUCCGUGCCAGCAGCCGCGGUAAUAC
rnacentral:rRNA from 1 species